GACCUCCAAGGGGAUGCCCGAGUCUCCCUUUACUCUGGGACAAAACUUGGUUUUGGUUUCUUGGGUUUCUCAUUGACGAAUCCUGAACAUGUUUGCUUUCACUUCAUUUCUUUGUUCCAGUGUUUUCUCUGCUGUUUUCACACCUCUCUGGAUAAUCUUUCCAAGUUCCUUAUAGAAAACAAGAAAGAUUAUUUACCAGCAGUCUUCCUGGUCCCCGGCUUGUCAGCCUCGGUGCAUUCCAGUGAACUCCUGUGACACCUUACCCAGUAGCUGUGGCUCGCAGCAUGUACAGCGUUUGUUCUCUCUGUUCUAUUGAUGGCUUCCUUUUCCAAGUCAGUUCUUUGCCUGGAUCUCUAGGAUCUCUGUCUCACUGCCACCGUUACCUGAUGUAGGGGGUUCACCCUACAGCAUUUCUGUUGCUGUAAAAAGACCCUCUGCUGUAUCUUUUGGCAUGGAGAAUUUCUCUUAUUGUAUUUUAGAAGCAAGAGAUUAUGCAGAAAUGGAUCCAUGGAUGGGGGUGGAGUUUAUCUUUCUGGUUUCUGUACAGUAAAAACUCUCAUUAUGCCUGUCCUAGACUGAGCCCCUCAUUCUAGAAGCUGGUCCACUUCUGGACGUAACACCUGAGCUGAAAAUGUUUCUUUUUGCCCAUGCUCAUUUUACUUCAGUUUCCAACAGAAGAGAAUCCUGACGCAUACAGAAAUGAGUCCUGCCACAGGAGAUUACAAAGAUCAAGCUCUACAAAGUAAAAUUGCUGGAGUGCCCAUCUGUGAUCACAAGAAGACGGAAACUACAGGGAUCAUCAGGAGAAAAGGAGAUAAAACCCCCAUAUGCAAGAUGUCCUCUUUACACUGAAAGGCAGCUCACAUUGUCAUCUCCAGGAAUGGGAAGUUGAAGCCCAGCGAAAUCUGUGCAAACAAACAUUGUUAAGCUAACCCUUAUCUUCCUAAUUACUUCUGUACUCAGUUAACUACCUAGUCCAGGCCCUUUUGAUUGUCCUUGUCACAUUUUCCCAAUUUACUACUCUUCCCCCACUUUUUAAAUUUUAAAACAAUUUGCUAUUUAUUAUUUUUUAAACUUUUUUUUUUUUCUUUUUGUCUUUUUCCCAACUCCCCAUCCAUUUUUUUUUAAGAGACAGGGUCUUGCUCUGUUAUCCAGGCUGGAGUGCAGUGGUACCAUCAUAGCCAGUGGCACCAUCACAGUUCACUACAGCCUCAACCUCCUGGGCUCAAGCAAUCAUCCUACCUCAGCCUCCCAAGUAGCUGAUACUAGAGGCAUAUGCCACAGGGCCCGCUAAUUUUAAAAUUUUUUAGUAGAAACUGGGUCUCACUGUAAGAUUUAAAGAAGGAGGAAAGAAACACGAAAAGUGGCUGAACAGUCAAAAAAAGGUUUAUUUUGGAGAAUAACCCUGAAAGGUGCCCUGAGAGGCCAGUAGUAACUUCAGUGGAGGAAGAGGCUGGGCACAGAGUGCACGGAGCCUGGGCAUGGUGAGAGCGCAGGCUCCUGGACAGGCAUUCAGGGCAGAGGACUGGGCUGGCGGGGCAGAACACGGAGAGGAAGCUUUGCAUCCUGUGGAGGACAAACCAAUGUGCAUGUGGUUGUUCUGGACAGGCAGGUAGCUGUAUUGAGACUCAGGGACUGGUCCACACAACCCACAAAGUCUUGUCAAGAAACCUACUGAAUAAAAAGUUUAUUAACAAACAGCCUUGCAAAACAGCUCUUGCCACUCAUUUCUGAGGCAUGUAAUGGUUCUACAACCCCUUCAACCU